CAGAGAUACCUUAAAUGAUGAAUACUAGGUGUCGGGGGGUACCACCCUCGGUGCCGCAGCAAACGCAUUAAGUAUUCCGCCUGGGGAGUACGGUCGCAAGAUUAAAACUCAAAGGAAUUGACGGGGACCCGCACAAGCAGCGGAGCAUGUGGUUUAAUUCGAAGCAACGCGAAGAACCUUACCUAGACUUGACAUCUCCUGAAUUACUCUUAAUCGAGGAAGUCCCUUCGGGGACAGGAAGACAGGUGGUGCAUGGUUGUCGUCAGCUCGUGUCGUGAGAUGUUGGGUUAAGUCCCGCAACGAGCGCAACCCUUAUUGUUAGUUGCUACUAUUAAGUUAAGCACUCUAACGAGACUGCCGCGGUUAACGUGGAGGAAGGUGGGGAUGACGUCAAAUCAUCAUGCCCCUUAUGUCUAGGGCUACACACGUGCUACAAUGGCUGGUACAACGAGCAGCAAACCCGUGAGGGGGAGCAAAACUUGAAAGCCAGUCCCAGUUCGGAUUGUAGGCUGAAACUCGCCUACAUGAAGUUGGAGUUGCUAGUAAUCGCGAAUCAGCAUGUCGCGGUGAAUACGUUCCCGGGUCUUGUACACACCGCCCGUCACACCAUGAGAGCCGGUAACACCCGAAGCCCGUGAGGUAACCGUAAGGAGCCAGCGGUCGAAGGUGGGAUUGGUGAUUGGGGUGAAGUCGUAACAAGGUAGCCGUAGGAGAACCUGCGGCUG
rnacentral:rRNA from 1 species